rnacentral:rRNA from 1 species
CAGCCGCCACGGGAAUACGAAGGGGGCUAGCGUUGUUCGGAAUUACUGGGCGUAAAGGGCGCGUAGGCGGCCAUUCAAGUUAGAUGUGAAAGCCCUGGGCUCAACCUAGGAAUUGCAUUUGAUACUGUUUGGCUUGAGUUCGGGAGAGGUGAGUGGAAUUCCCAGUGUAGAGGUGAAAUUCGUAGAUAUUGGGAAGAACACCAGUGGCGAAGGCGGCUCACUGGACCAUUUCUGACGCUGAUGCACGAAAGCUAGGGGAGCAAACAGGAUUAGAUACCCCUGUAGUCCCUGUCUCUUAUAC